rnacentral:tRNA from 1 species
GGGGCUAUAGCUCAGUUGGGAGAGUGCUACAAUGGCAUUGUAGAGGUCGGCGGUUCGAUCCCGCCUAGCUCCA